UUGGGGAUAGCCUUUCGAAAGAGAGAUUAAUACCCAAUGGUCUAAGCUGGAGGAAUCUCCUACUUAGUAAAGAUUACGGUGAAAGAUGGGCAUGCGUCUGAUUAGCUAGUUGGCGGGGUAACGGCCCACCAAGGCGACGAUCAGUAGGGGUUCUGAGAGGAUGGUCCCCCACACUGGCACUGAGAUACGGGCCAGACUCCUACGGGAGGCAGCAGUAGGGAAUAUUGGGCAAUGGACGGAAGUCUGACCCAGCCAUGCCGCGUGCAGGAAGAAGGUCCUCUGGAUUGUAAACUGCUUUAGACGGGGAAGAAUAAGGAUCAUGCGUGAUCUGAUGACGGUACCCGUAGAAUAAGCACCGGCUAACUACGUGCCAGCAGCCGCGGUAAUACGUAGGGUGCGAGCGUUGUCCGGAUUUAUUGGGUUUAAAGGGUGCGUAGGCGGGAGAGUAAGUUCGCUUUUAAAGCCGGCCGCUUAACGGUCAGGUAGGGGGCGGAUACUGCUUUUCUUGAGAGGGCUCGGGGCUGGCGGAAUUUGUGGUGUAGCGGUGAAAUGCAUAGAUACCACAAGGAACACCGAUCGCGUAGGCAGCCAGCCAGGGCCUUUCUGACGCUGAGGCACGAAAGUGCGGGGAGCAAACAGGAUUAGAUACCCUGGUAGUCCGCACUGUAAACGAUGCAUACUCGGUGUCGGCUCGUUGGAGCCGGUGCCUGAGGGAAACCGAUAAGUAUGCCACC
rnacentral:rRNA from 1 species